rnacentral:lncRNA from 10 species
ACCGCCUACUCUCCACGCCUCCCACUCUCUCUCGCGAGAGGGCAGCGCGCCUCUCGCGAGAAAAAUUCCGCGGCCGAGCCCGCGCAAAAGUGGGUGGGCGUUUAAAAAGGGAAAGAAGGAACAGGAAAAAAAGCCUUCCCACGUGCUCCAGUGCAGCCCGCGGAGCAGCCCGCGGGGCAGCCCCGCUGGUCACAUGACUUAAAGGGGGCCUCUCCAUUGGCCGGGACCCACUCAGCCUUGGGAGCUUUAAAUUCGAGGGCGACCUACGAACCUGCGGCGGACGUCUUGCGCGCUUCCUGGUCCGUUGCCUUGGAAACGGCUUAACCCUUCCCUCUGGCAAGUCCCCAGGCCUUGGCUUGCUCCGCAGAUUUGGUUUCAGGCUCUGCCUCUUUUCCCUCGACCCCUUAGUCUUAACAGCCUGGGGCCAGCUGGGCUCCUUCUUCGCCACAAGGCUAGUUUUGCUUUCUUCCGAAGCCCGGGGCCCUUCCCAAAGUGGCAGCCCCACCAGAUCCGAAGGCCCAAGGAAGGCUCAUCCUUUCUGAUGGCUCCGCCCCUUCUCCCAGCAUCUCCGGGGAGGACCACUCACAGCGCACCGGGCAACCAGCCCUAUCCCAGCCAAGAAGUAGCUUCCAGGGUUCUCAGGGCCCUAGUGCUCACCCUGAUGUCUUUACGUGGUAUGGAAAUCGGAAAGUAAAGCUUUGGUCACUGGGAAGCCUAGCCAGAGAUGAAAAGCUGUUAUGGUGAUUAUUUUCACCUAAAAUCGGAAGGGCCAGUCCAGUCAAAUUGCCCUGUCUCCUAAAGGGCAUCUGUUCCUCAAGAGUGGAAACACCUGGCAAUAAGAAAGACAUUUUUGAGUGUAUCCUCGUUAUGAGUUAAGUUUUGCCCUGUUCAGAGGAGAGGGUCACGGAAGAAAGGGUGCAUUCGUUUGUUCAUUUCUUCAUUCAACAAACACUACUCUAGGCUGUUGAUUGAACAAUGAUGAAGACAAGUAGUGUAGAUUCUAGGGAACUUAUCUGAGGGUGAAAAGAAAAAAAAUCUGUUGGUUUUAAGCUGUAUGCAAAGAAGUUACAAUAAGUGACGUGAUGGUGAUGGUGACUGAGUGGCUAGUAAAGGGGAUGCCCUUUUAAGGAGGAGAUAUUUUAGCAGCGAUUUGAAUAACAGACGCAAAAAUCAGAGCAUAGAGCAUUCCAGGAAAAGGAUAACACUAAUUCAAAGGCCCUAAGUAAGGAUCUAUUCUAGUGCAUUUGAGGGAAGAAGAAAUGAGAAAGUAAACUUUCUUGAGCCUGGAGAUGGAAACUGUAAGAGUUAAAGAAAGAAACACAAAAAGCAGCUUAACAGAGACAGGUUUAUUUUGGAGAAUAAACCUGAGAGGGGCUUCUGGCCGAUUUCGGUCAGGAGUGUUCUCUCUUACAGACUAAAGGUAUUUAGUGGUUUAGGGAGGGAGAGCAUAUUGUAGACUUGGAAUGUUUCUGGGUGGAGGAGAGUUUUAUUGUCAGGGGUGUAAUGUCUCUGGUUGGAGGGGAGGCAUAUUUCUGAUCAGAGUGGGGUUUAUCUCAGGGUUGGAAAGUUUCUGGUCAGAAGUGUUAUUUGUGGUUUAUGGUCAUGCUGACAUUAGCCAUUAGGCUGAUGUUUCUGGGGCUGGAUUUAGGCGGUUUUUAAUCAAGGGGAACUUAAAAUGGCGGUGCUUGUCCAAGAUGGUGAUGCUCUUGCUCUGUCAGAAACUAGCAUGGGCCAGAUCCUGUAAGGCUUUGUUAGCCAAGAAAGGAAUUGAAAGUUUAUUCUAAACGCAAUAUAAGGUAUUACAGAGUUUUUAAUAGGGGAGAGACACCCAGAGUUUACUUUUUUUUAAAAAAAAAAAGUCUCGUCUUUGAAAAGAAUGGGUCUUAAAGAGGCCAAAGCAGAAGUAAGGGAGAUUAGGAGAUUUAUAGGCCAGGUGAGAGACAGUCAUGAAAUUUAAUUUAAUUUCCUAUGAUCUCAACAUUUCUAAAAUCCAUUAGGUCAGAGUCCUCAUGCUGUUUCUGCCUUUGUUGAAACAUGUGGAUUUCUCCUAAUUACUAGGAAAAAUAAAAUGGAGGAUUUUCUUUUGUUACCUGGGGGAAAACAAAUGGCUGAAAAGGAAGGGCCCAUCUUUAAUUUUUUUCCCUCCAUUAUGCUACACUGACAACCACCUCUUCUGUCUAUUCUUAAAGUCAAUUCUGGGAACAGAAAAUGAAAUUCUACGCAGAUACUUAUUCUUUAGUGUAAGAUUUGAAAAGAUAGAGGUUGAAAGCUCAGAAAUCAAGAGGAUGUUUCACCAAAAGAAACGAAUCAGGAGAUGAGUUCCAACUCGAAGCUCUGUCAUUAGUGAUACAACCAAAUCAAGGUUCCUUAUCACCACUGAGUCUCAGCUUCCUCAUACAUAAAACAAAGCAAUGUAACUAGCCUACACCUAAAGUAGUUAAGCCUGAAUUACACUUUAACAUGCACAUACCAGUAGGACGGAAGCUGGAAAGGGAAAUGAAAUGAUUUUUUAUGAAAACCUAACAGAGUCAGCGGCUCAACCCAAAUGAAAUUAGACACACACACACCAGCUGAAUAACUCUGAAAACGGUUGAUACAGAUACCAGGAAUGCUUCCCUAAGAAACCUUGGCCUUCUCAGAGUGUGAAAACGGAAACACCGCCACCUGCUCAACCUCGAAUUCCAUCUCUCUUAAGCUAUUUUGAACCUGUGUAGUAUUAAAUAAUGAUUCAUGUGUUCCUAAUCAGAGUUUAAGAACUAGAUAGCAAAUACAUUUUUUAAAAGGUCUGAGGCAAUAUCCUAAAGUUAAGCUAACACCUUAAUUUUAACGAAAGCAAGAUUUCAAGAUACAUAGGGCUACUUUUUAAAAGGAAAAACGCCAAAAAGAGAAAAAGUACUAUUUUAACAAAGUAGGACCAUUCUUUUAAAAUGUUAAUUGAGUAUUUUUUGAGUGUUUACAGCCCUCAUAAUGAUUAACUGAAACAGCUGCUUGGUACUACUAAUUUAGAUGAACUCUGGGCCCAACUCUCCCAAUCGAACAUGUAUUAACAGAGCCCGAAAUAAAUCCUCCCAACUCACCUUAGCAAGACAGUCAUUGUGCUCUCUUGUGCUAGCUACAAUUAUUUGCAGUACAUUAAUACAAAGUGAGAAAAAAUUAGGAUUGAGAUCCAGUUCUGCUGUGUCCCCAGUUCCUGGAUUCUUUUUAAAACUGUGUUUUUUAACAGUUUUACUGAGAUGUAAUCCAUUUACCAUACAAUUCAGUGCUUCUGGUAGAUUUACAGUUGUGCAACUGUCAUCAAAAUCUAAUUUUAGAAGUUUUGUUCCUCCCUAAAAGAAACUCACAUACUCAGUAGCAGCCAAUCAACUUUAUGUCUAUAAAGACUUGCCUAUUCUGAAGGUGGAAACCAUCAUUCUAAGCAAACUAUCACAAGGACAGAAAACCAAACACCGCAUGUUCUCACUCAUAGAUGGGAGUUGAACAAUGAGAACACAUGGACACAGGACACAAGGCGGGGAACAUCGCACACCGGGG